GGGGAGGAUGAGGGCUGGGGCAGGGGAUCAGGGGUUUGGAGCAUUGGAAGGGCUCAGGUCUAGGGCGGAAGGGCAGGGUAAGGGCAGCCUACCCUGUCAUUA